UGGGGAAUAUUGCACAAUGGAGGGAACUCUGAUGCAGCGACGCCGCGUGAACGAAGAAGGCUUUCGAGUCGUAAAGUUCUUUUAUAUGGGAAGAUAAUGACGGUACCAUAAGAAAAAGCCCCGGCUAACUACGUGCCAGCAGCCGCGGUAAUACGUAGGGGGCUAGCGUUGUCCGGAAUCACUGGGCGUAAAGGGUACGUAGGCGGUUUUUUAAGUCAGGUGUCAAAGCGUGGAGCUUAACUCCAUUAAGCACUUGAAACUGAAAGACUUGAGUGAAGGAGAGGAAAGUGGAAUUCCUAGUGUAGCGGUGAAAUGCGUAGAUAUUAGGAGGAAUACCGGUGGCGAAGGCGACUUUCUGGACUUUUACUGACGCUCAGGUACGAAAGCGUGGGGAGCAAACAGG
rnacentral:rRNA from 1 species